UGAGUUUGAUUCUGGCUCAGGAUGAACGCUAGCGGGAGGCUUAACACAUGCAAGUCGAGGGGUAACGAUGCUGCUUGCAGCAGGCGACGACCGGCGCACGGGUGCGUAACGCGUAUACAACUUGCCCUUAACAGGGGGAUAGCUCAGGGAAACCUGGAUUAAUACUCCAUAGUCCUUAUGUACCGCAUGGUACUAAAGGUAAAACUCCGGUGGUUAAGGAUGGGUAUGCGUGACAUUAGCUAGUUGGUGAGGUAAUGGCUCACCAAGGCAACGAUGUCUAGGGGUUCUGAGAGGAUGAUCCCCCACACUGGUACUGAGACACGGACCAGACUCCUACGGGAGGCAGCAGUGAGGAAUAUUGGUCAAUGGGCGCAAGCCUGAACCAGCCAUCCCGCGUGAAGGAAGACUGCCCUAUGGGUUGUAAACUUCUUUUGUAAAGGAAGAAAGUUAGCUACGUGUAGCUAUUUGCCUGUACUUUACGAAUAAGCACCGGCUAACUCCGUGCCAGCAGCCGCGGUAAUACGGAGGGUGCAAGCGUUAUCCGGAUUUAUUGGGUUUAAAGGGUGCGCAGGCGGGCUCUUAAGUCAGUGGUGAAAUCCUGCAGCUUAACUGU
rnacentral:rRNA from 1 species